rnacentral:pre_miRNA from 1 species
CUCCAGAGGGAAGCGCUUUCUGUUGUCUGAAAGAAAACAAAGCGCUCCCCUUUAGAGGU